UUCAGACUUGCCCUCAGCUACUCUGAGCACUCAGCUUUCUGUAAGAAACCAGCGAUCUGGUAGAAGCUCUAAAGCAGCAUCCACCUCUGUCACUUUGCCUUGCCACCGUCACAGCAGCAAGCAGUAAUCAUCAACAUAACUAUUCCAUCAUCCCCCCAGAAAUCAGAGCUUGAGUUCAGAAAGAAGAAACUGUCCUCUUUCUUGUCAUGUGAAGAAGAGCAUAGGGAAGGAAGUAGAUAGGAAGCCCUGCACAGCUGGGAGCUGAAAUUGCUCCUUUUCCUUCCCAGCACACUUGAACUCCAACCAUCUUCAUCAUCACAGUCUCCACUAGCCUGUUCAAGCAUGCCGCCACCACUCCCUGGCUGAAGGAGCUCCCACUUGCUGGGUUUGGGAGAUCUACCCUGUAACAACUGAAUACAGACAACAACAAUAUGUUUAU
ensembl:processed_transcript Gm20713 predicted gene 20713